rnacentral:rRNA from 1 species
AUUGAACGCUGGCGGCAGGCCUAACACAUGCAAGUCGAGCGGAUGAAGAGAGCUUGCUCUCUGAUUUAGCGGCGGACGGGUGAGUAAUGCCUAGGAAUCUGCCUGGUAGUGGGGGAUAACGUCCGGAAACGGGCGCUAAUACCGCAUACGUCCUACGAGAGAAAGCAGGGGACCUUCGGGCCUUGCGCUAUCAGAUGAGCCUAGGUCGGAUUAGCUGGUUGGUGAGGUAAUGGCUCACCAAGGCUACGAUCCGUAACUGGUCUGAGAGGAUGAUCAGUCACACUGGAACUGAGACACGGUCCAGACUCCUACGGGAGGCAGCGGUGGGGAAUAUUGGACAAUGGGCGAAAGCCUGAUCCAGCCAUGCCGCGUGUGUGAAGAAGGUCUUCGGAUUGUAAAGCACUUUAAGUUGGGAGGAAGGGCAGUAAGUUAAUACCUUGCUGUUUUGACGUUACCGACAGAAUAAGCACCGGCUAACUUCGUGCCAGCAGCCGCCGUAAAAC